rnacentral:lncRNA from 1 species
GGUUCUUGCCAGUACACUGCAGUUUAGCUCUGCACUCUAUUCUUUCCCGCUUGCUGUGCACCUUUACACCCUGUGAGACAUUCACAACUAUAAAAUUCAUGUAGGCUGUACACCAUGGUUACGAGAAGCUUUAUUGUCUUCUCCAAUUCCAAAUGGCAGGGUUCAAUCCAAAUCGCAUCGUUGUAUCAAAACCCUAGCCAUCAGAUUAUUUGAUACCUCUGAAUUCCUGUUACUUUCUGGUGAUUCUUUUCAUCCCUUUCGUUGUUUUUCAUUUUAUCGUUAAUCAUUCUUUAAAAAAAAAGGAUAUAUAUAUAUAUAUAUAUCUUCUUAUUUUUGCACGUGUGAGAGCAUUUGAAAAGUAUCUAGAAUGGUAAAUAAGAUGAUUAGAUGAAACGGAUUGUUGGAAGGAAGUGAUUGGAACUAAAGAUAUACUUCGAGAGAAAUGGGAUUCAUUCAAUAGGAUUAAUAUAGUUUGAGAUUUGAGUAUAUUUUAUUAACUGUGAUUUUUUAUUUCCAGUAGUUGCUCAGAGUUGCGUUUUUUGGUGAUUGAAUUGCAAUUCUCUGUCAAUAGAUCAAAGAUACAGUAGAGGAGUUUAAAAGGAAGUGAGACUGCUGAAGGUGGAAAUGGAAGCUGCUCAAGUUUUUCUGGCAGAGCAGUUUUCUAGUCCUAGAUUGGAUUCUGUAUCAGCAUCCUCUGCAAUGAAGCAGUACGAUUCAUCUACAAGUAACAGCACAUGCUUCUCAUAUAUUUUUUUAAACCUUUUUUAUACAGAUGAAUGCUUUUUGGCAUUUUCAGAUGUAAGUUUUCUUUGUUAUAUAACUAGGAUUCAGGUUUUCACUAAGAAACACAAAUGCAGGAACCAGGAGAAGAAUUUGGGAUAUAAUUACCUCCCGUUGGGACAAAAUAUCAUGUCGCAUUCAUUAGCCUUGCAAGUGAAAGUGCUGGUUACAUCAUUAAAUGCAUAGCUUUAAGCUCUUGGACAUCCACUCUUGAAGAUAUUUGAGUAGAAUGACGGCCGGCAAGUCGCGACUUCUUCGCUGCAGCAGUACUGGUCUUGUCCGAAAGCCUAACAUGUGCUCUUGCAGCCAUCAGCUUCGCUCCCACCUUCACCUUCACCAUUACCAAUCACCUGAAGGUUUUUUGGACAACCUGUUCGAUAUCCAAUAUUGAUUGCUCAGAUGAAUACGUUUUUACACAGAUGUAAGUUUACUCAGGUGAAUCAUAAUUUCAACACCUUUAGCUUGAAAAAUAAAUAAAUUUUCUCUUUGGCAGCAAAUGAUCUACAUUCGUAUACAUUUGUGUUAAUGCCCUCAUGUGUGUGCACACCUUGUCUAUUUAUGGGCAUUUCAUCCAUUCAUUUGAGGAGAUGUCACAAAUUGGACCACAUUGCAAAAAGAAAAACUGCACCAUUUUGGAUGAUUCGUAAAAAUUUGCAAUCUAGAUGAUAAAUGAGAUUUUUGACACUUACGAAAGUAUUAAGAUCACUAUCCUUUAUCCCUUAGAUAUCUGAUAUUAAACAUUUUCCAUAUGGUUUUGAAAUGGUAUUUGUAGCACUUCUUCCGUUUAUGAAGACAGCAUAUUGUAAUUUGACUAAAUCUUGGAUUUACCAAAUAUCAUCACAUUCCAUCAAGUAGAAUUAAUUCUCACUGAAGUUAGCAAUGGAUUCUUUGUCCAGUUAAUUAAUUCGGAAGUAGACAUUCUUAAAGAUGGUUUUGAGUGUUUUCAUUCCUCAAAAAUGCCAUCUGUCAUGAUCACUGUGUUUUAAUUUAAGGCAAAUACAUUUCUUAAAAUCCAAGUUCACAUAUUUAUUUAAGGCAAAUACAUUUCUUAAAAUCCAAGAGUAUGCUCAGAGAGUGGCUUCGGACGCCUGGUUAUGAGACCAUUAAGGAAGGCCCUUCUCAUGAGCCUUUCUUUAAAAUAGCAGUAAUUCUGGACAACAUUAAAUACUAUUCUGUACCUGGAUUUUAUAAUCGCAAGGCGGCAGAGCAGUCAGCUGCUGAAGUAGCUCUCUUGGAACUUGUCAAAUCUGUGGACACUUUUUUGGCAUCUCUCAACCAGUGGUAAUUAUCUUGGAUGAACAAGGAAUUAUUUGCUCAUUACGUGUAGAACCAUGUACAUUUUUAGCACGAUUUAUUGAUUUCCUUGUAUCUUCUGCUUAAUGCCAUCAUAAUAACCCUCUACUCCUUGGUUCCUCCCUUCUCCCAGAAACAAAAACUGCUUUUAUCUUGCAUUUGUUGGUGCAGUGGGUUUAUGCCGAAAUUUCCCAACUUUUGCUAAAACUAGUUUUGAGUAAAAUGAGGGCAAUACAGUAUCUGGAAAUAUCAAUAGGAAGGGUUUGCUUGAAUUGCAUUAUAGUAAUCUUAAGUUCUCCUUGGUCAACUCAAUGACUUGCCUAUUUAAUUAUCAAAAUACUAUUUGAGUGUUAAUUUUGUGAUGCAAGAUUACUGAAAUUAUUGUAUGACCUUUGCUAUUUUUGGUCAGAAAAUUCUCGCACAACCUGGUUGCUCAAAAUUGAAAUUCUACUAUUUGCUAAAUGUUGAUAGUGAUGCUAAGUUUGUUAUUCAUAGUCACUCUAAUUGAGACAGUGCUCUUCAGCAUGAUCAAUGAAAUACCUCGGUGAUUACUAAGCAAUUGGGACACUAUCUUCAAGAAGCAUUAUCACUAAGAAUAAUAAAAAUUGCCUUUACAAUAUGAACAUAGGAAUAAGAUUUGUGUUUGUAGUGUAGCAGGUUACUGAUUGGUCUAGAAAAUCUGAUCUUACACAUCCCAUAGAGGAAAACAAAGUGAAACUAAGAAGCCCUGUUAAAAUUCUAAAAAGAGCAACAAAGUGUGUUUGUUUUGCUUGUUCUAGUCGUUGGUUCUUUCCCGUUUCAAUUCUCUUCAUCUUUUUUAUCUGUGUUGGUAUUGUUUGAAGGGUUUAUAUUUCAGUGUCAGACUAACUGAUGCUAUUGUGGUUUCCAUGGAGAAAGAAUCUGGGCUUGCCCUCAUGGCAAAUAUUUGUUAUGGAGAGUUAAGAAAAUAAUUUGAGACGACGUUUUGUGGAUUUUCGAGUUCUAUCUCAAACAGGGCUACUUAUUUGAUACUGAUGAUUACUGCUGCUGUCAAUAAAACAUGGAGCCUUAAGGUACGAUUAAUUCAUACUCUAGAUAAUGUGUUUGAAUUUGAGUUAUUUUUAUAGGAUUAUUUGUUUUGUUAUAAUUCUUUAAUGAGCAUUUUCUGUUCUAUUUUCAUAAUGUUUGGCUGCAUUUGCUGUUUCCCCUAUUAGACUUGUUCAAUUUUAUUCUGACCUGUAAGCUGCAACUCAAGCUAGAAAAUUAGUUCCAGUAGAAUUUAGUUUGGAGAAUUAUUUGAAGGUGAAUUAGACAAUACUGAACUAUUUUAAUGAGAAAAAGAAGUUAAAAUAUUCU